AUUGAACGCUGGCGGCAUGCUUUACACAUGCAAGUCGAACGGCAGCGCGGGCUUCGGCCUGGCGGCGAGUGGCGAACGGGUGAGUAAUACAUCGGAACGUGCCCAGUAGUGGGGGAUAGCUCGGCGAAAGCCGGAUUAAUACCGCAUACGACCUGAGGGUGAAAGCGGGGGAUCUUCGGACCUCGCGCUAUUGGAGCGGCCGAUGGCAGAUUAGCUAGUUGGUGGGGUAAAGGCCUACCAAGGCGACGAUCUGUAGCUGGUCUGAGAGGACGACCAGCCACACUGGAACUGGAACACGGCCCAGACUCCUACGGGAGGCAGCAGUGGGGAAUUUUGGACAAUGGGCGAAAGCCUGAUCCAGCAAUGCGGCGUGUGUGAUGAAGGCCUUCGGGUUGUAAAGCACUUUUGGCGGGAACGAAAAGGACUGUGCCAAUACCACGGUUCGAUGACGGUACCCGCAGAAUAAGCACCGGCUAACUACGUG
rnacentral:rRNA from 1 species